rnacentral:rRNA from 1 species
AGUGAACGCUGGCGGCAUGCCUAACACAUGCAAGUCGAACGGACGCACAGUAAGAUCUUUCUCUUGCGGUUGGCGAGUGGCGGACGAGUGACAAAUACAUAGGCAUCCUCUUUUACUUGGGUGACAACGUGGGGAAACUUCUGCUAAUACAUCAUAUAACGUACUGGUUUAAGCAAUGGUUAUUCGGACUUUUCGCGAUUCUAUGAGCCGAGGUCGCAUUAGCUAGUUGGCUUGGUAAAGGCCCACCAAGGCGACGCUCCGUAGCUGGUCUGAGAGGAUGAUCAGCCACACUGGAACUGAGACACGGUCCAGACUCCUACGGGAGGCAGCAGUAGGGAAUAUUGGGCAAUGGGCGCAAGCCUGAUCCAGCAAUACCGCGUGAGUGAAGAAGGUCUUCGGAUUGUAAAGCCCUUUUGUUGGGAAAGAAAAAAAGCAGGUUAAUACACCGAUGUUCUGACGGUACCCAAAGAAUAAGCCACGGCUAACUUCGUG